GACGAACGCUGGCGGCGUGCUUAACACAUGCAAGUCGAGCGGAAAGGCCCUUUCGGGGGUCCUCGAGCGGCGAACGGGUGAGUAACACGUGAGUAAUCUGCCCUUCACUUGGGGAUAACCUCCGGAAACGGUGGCUAAUACCCGAUACGACCAUUCCUCGCAUGAGGUGGGGGUGGAAAGUUUUUCGGUGGGGGAUGUGCUCGCGGCCUAUCAGCUUGUUGGUGGGGUAAUGGCCUACCAAGGCUUCGACGGGUAGCCGGCCUGGGAGGGUGACCGGCCACACUGGGACUGAGACACGGCCCAGACUCCUACGGGAGGCAGCAGUGGGGAAUAUUGGACAAUGGGCGGAAGCCUGAUCCAGCAACGCCGCGUGAGGGAUGACGGCCUUCGGGUUGUAAACCUCUUUCACCUGUGACGAAGCGAAAGUGACGGUAGCAGGAGAAGAAGCACCGGCCAACUACGUG
rnacentral:rRNA from 1 species